GGUCAGUAGGUUGGUCGUGCCACCGGUACGUACUGGUCUCACUGAUUCCUCCUUCCUGAAGAACCGUAAUGCCAUCAAUUUGGUGUUGCGGGGAAACAGGACUGUUACUUUGAAAAAAUUAGAGUGUUUAAAGCAAGCUAACGCUUGAAUACAUUAGCAUGGAAUAAUGAAAUAGGACGAUCGAUCCUAUUUUGUUGGUUUCUAGGAUUGACGUA
rnacentral:rRNA from 1 species